rnacentral:lncRNA from 1 species
GCUAGGACUGACCCCUCUUCCCAGGCCCUGGCAGAGCACGUGAAAGAGCGAGCAGCUGAGCUGAAGUGGGUCAGCACCAUAUUAGCAUGUGACACGUAAGCCCUUGUGCUCUGCUCAGCACAUGCUGCCAAACCAGGCUCUAGGCAUGCUCACUGCGCUGGCUGAGCGCCAGCAGGCCCAGCAGAAUUAGGAGUUACAAUAGAGUCAUUCACUCAGUCGAAGCAAAAGCCUAAGGGCAGCCCUGGGGUUCCCAUGACCAGGGAGCUGUUUGUAGGCUGUGGUGAGAGCAGCCUUUCUCUUCCCAGAGCAGGCUCCUAGAGGCUGCAUAGAAAAGCAGACAAUGAGUGCUGCUGAACCCAUGCCUUGCUCUGCCUGGGAACGGGACAUGGGCUGCAAUACACUGCAAUAGCUCAGGCAAUGUCUGACUGUCAGUACAGUCUGUUCUUUGCUAGGCUUAGUCCAGUUCCUCAUUUUUCCCUCUGAUUUUGGAAAGGGAAGACCCUUCCAGCUAAAUGUCUGGCCAGAUGCACAGGGCAGUGGUUCUCUGGUAGCCGUGGACACUACGGCUAUUUUCAGUGACAAACAGCAAAGAAAACCCCUGUCUGGAGUGCAGCGAAGACACAUACAGCGCCUGACCCAAAACCCAUAGGGGUGGGGGGGGGAGGGGAUCUGUCCAGUGGCGUAGCCAGGUUCUAACAGCAGGGGGAGCAAACACAAAAAAAGGCGCCACCCGCCGCGAAGCAGCGAAGAAAAGAAAAAAAAAGAAAAACCCAAGUCUUGCCGCCAAAGACUGAAGACCCCGCCGCUGAAUUACCCGCUGCCGAAGUGCCGCCAAAGACCUGGAGCAACUGAAGGACCCGCCGUCGAAGUGCCGCCAAAGACCCGGAGCGACUGAAGAACCCGCUGCCAAUUUGCCCCGAAGACCCGGAUGUGCCGCCCCUGCUGGGAAGCGCCCCUGACUCAUCCCGCAGACCCAGCUCUGGGCUUGCUCCUCCUCCAGGACUGGCUCCAAGGACGGCAUGAUGGACCCCCACAAGGCUUCCACAGGCAACCCUGCCCUCGCACACAGACCUCCAAGCAGCACAGUGCCCCAUCGGCUUGCGAGUGGCCAAGCCAGCAGCCAGAGCACAGCACUCCAGAGACCGCCAAGCAGCCAUCUAAAGCCAUCCUCCACAGAGGCCACAUGGAAGGCAAUGUCCUGCGUCUCCCUUCCAGUCGAGAACUCGACCAUCAACACUUACGCCAGACUGAAAGGGAAAGGCAGCGCAGCCAGAGUCCAGGCCCGCUCAGCUCACAGCCCCAGGAACCACCAGAAAUAGAACCCCAAGAGAGCAACUCCUGCUGGAGGUGUUCAGCUAGGGACACAAAUAAAG